rnacentral:tRNA from 1 species
UCCCUUGUGGCUCAGCUGGUAAAGAAUCCACCUGCAAUGUGGGAGACAUAGGUUCAAUCCCUUUGUUGGGAA